rnacentral:rRNA from 1 species
UCAGCUAAAACUAAGCGCUCUAACCUCGGCAUCAACUAACUUUGGGAAACUAAGGCUAAAAGCUGAGGAUGAGGCUUAGCACUAUCAGCUAGUAGGUAGUGUAAUGGACUACCUAGGCGGUGACGGUUAACGGGAUACGAGAGUGUGAUACCGGAGAGGGAGCCUGAGAAACAGCUCCUACAUCCAAGGAUGGCAGCAGGCGCGAAAAUUGUCCACUCUUUGCAGGAGACAGUUAUGAAAAGUAAAAAAGGUAGGUCUUGUAAAGAAAGAUUCUAAAAUUGGAGGGCAAGUUUGGUGCCAGCAGCCGCGGUAAUACCAACUCCAAGAGUGUGUAUGAGAGUUGUUGCAGUUAAAAGGUCCGUAGUCGUUCAUGGAAAUAAGGCUUUGGCCUGCAUUUAAUGUGGAGGGGCUGAUGGGGACCAUAGUAUACAGGGGCGAGAGAUGAAAUGUCUAAACCCUCUGUGGACUCAGCGAGGCGAAAGCGGUGGUCUAGUAAGUACUCGGUGAUCAAGGACGAAGGGUAGAGGAGCGAAAGUGAUUAGAUACCGCUGUAGUUUUACCAGUAAAAGAUGCCGACUAUCCUGGCGUGUGCGGGCGCAAGCAAUGCGCAGGCUGGGAAUAGAGAAAUCGAUAAGUGUUCGGGCUCUGGGGAUAGUAUGCUCGCAAGAGUGAAAAUUAAAGAAAUUGACGGAGCUACACCACAAGGAGUGGAUUGUGCGGCUUAAUUUGACU